rnacentral:rRNA from 5 species
AAAUUGAAGAGUUUGAUCAUGGCUCAGAUUGAACGCUGGCGGCAGGCCUAACACAUGCAAGUCGAACGGUAACAGGAAGCAGCUUGCUGCUUUGCUGACGAGUGGCGGACGGGUGAGUAAUGUCUGGGAAACUGCCUGAUGGAGGGGGAUAACUACUGGAAACGGUGGCUAAUACCGCAUAACGUCGCAAGACCAAAGAGGGGGACCUUCG